rnacentral:rRNA from 1 species
GACGAACGCUGGCGGCGUGCCUAAUACAUGCAAGUUGGGCGCUGAAGGUUGGUACUUGUACCGACUGGAUGAGCAGCGAACGGGUGAGUAACGCGUGGGGAAUCUGCCUUUGAGCGGGGGACAACAUUUGGAAACGAAUGCUAAUACCGCAUAAAAACUUUAAACACAAGUUUUAAGUUUGAAAGAUGCAAUUGCAUCACUCAAAGAUGAUCCCGCGUUGUAUUAGCUAGUUGGUGAGGUAAAGGCUCACCAAGGCGAUGAUACAUAGCCGACCUGAGAGGGUGAUCGGCCACAGUGGGACUGAGACACGGCCCAAACUCCUACGGGAGGCAGCAGUAGGGAAUCUUCGGCAAUGGACGAAAGUCUGACCGAGCAACGCCGCGUGAGUGAAGAAGGUUUUCGGAUCGUAAAACUCUGUUGGUAGAGAAGAACGUUGGUGAGAGUGGAAAGCUCAUCAAGUGACGGUAACUACCCAGAAAGGGACGGCUAACUACGUG